rnacentral:rRNA from 1 species
AACGAACGCUGGCGGCAUGCCUAACACAUGCAAGUCGAACGAGACCUUCGGGUCUAGUGGCGCACGGGUGCGUAACGCGUGGGAACCUGCCCUUAGGUUCGGAAUAACUCCCCGAAAGGGGUGCUAAUACCGGAUAAUGUCUUCGGACCAAAGAUUUAUCGCCUUUGGAUGGGCCCGCGUUGGAUUAGCUAGUUGGUAGGGUAAAAGCCUACCAAGGCGACGAUCCAUAGCUGGGCUGAGAGGAUGAUCAGCCACACUGGGACUGAGACACGGCCCAGACUCCUACGGGAGGCAGCAGUGGGGAAUAUUGGACAAUGGGCGAAAGCCUGAUCCAGCAAGGCCGCGUGAGUGAUGAAGGCCUUAGGGUUGUAAAGCUCUUUUACCCGGGAUGAUAAUGACAGUACCGGGAGAAUAAGCGCCGGCUAACUCCGUG